GACGAACGCUGGCGGCGUGCUUAACACAUGCAAGUCGAACGGAAAGGCCUCUUUCGGGGGGUACUCGAGUGGCGAACGGGUGAGUAACACGUGAGUAACCUGCCCUUGACUCUGGGAUAACUUCAGGAAACUGGGGCUAAUACCGGAUAGGAGCUCCUGCUGCAUGGUGGGGGUUGGAAAGUUUCGGCGGUUGGGGAUGGACUCGCGGCUUAUCAGCUUGUUGGUGGGGUAGUGGCUUACCAAGGCUUUGACGGGUAGCCGGCCUGAGAGGGUGACCGGCCACAUUGGGACUGAGAUACGGCCCAGACGCCUACGGGAGGCAGCAGGGGGGAAUAUUGCACAAGGGGUGGAAGCCUGAUGCAGCAACGCCGUGUGCGGGAGGACGGCCUUCGGGUUGUAAACCGCUUUCGCUCAUGACGAAGCUUUGUGUGACGGUAGUGGGUAAAGAAGCACCGGCUAACUACGUG
rnacentral:rRNA from 1 species